UAAAAGAUCUGUUGCUAUUUGUUACCUCAAGGAAACACCAUAGACUCAGCGGGAUUUAUUGCCGAUUUCUUAUCAUGUGAGGAUUUGGAUUUGUGAAAGGAUUUAUUCAUAUUUGAGAUUUCUCAGUAGCAACAUUCACCGUUCGAUCACUGUCACGGUAUUACCAGUUCAGGUAUCACCUAUCUGACUGAAAUUAAGUACGUACAUUCGUACUGAUUAUAAAAUAAACGUCAUCAGCCUCACCCC